rnacentral:rRNA from 2 species
UCAGGAUGAACGCUAGCUACAGGCUUACACAUGCAAGUCGAGGGGCAGCAUGGUCUUAGCUUGCUAAGGCCGAUGGCGACCGGCGCACGGGUGAGUAACACGUAUCCAACCUGCCGUCUACUCUUGGACAGCCUUCUGAAAGGAAGAUUAAUACAAGAUGGCAUCAUGAGUCCGCAUGUUCACAUGAUUAAAGGUAUUCCGGUAGACGAUGGGGAUGCGUUCCAUUAGAUAGUAGGCGGGGUAACGGCCCACCUAGUCUUCGAUGGAUAGGGGUUCUGAGAGGAAGGUCCCCCACAUUGGAACUGAGACACGGUCCAAACUCCUACGGGAGGCAGCAGUGAGGAAUAUUGGUCAAUGGGCGAGAGCCUGAACCAGCCAAGUAGCGUGAAGGAUGACUGCCCUAUGGGUUGUAAACUUCUUUUAUAAAGGAAUAAAGUCGGGUAUGGAUACCCGUUUGCAUGUACUUUAUGAAUAAGGAUCGGCUAACUCCGUGCCAGCAGCCGCGGUAAUACGGAGGAUCCGAGCGUUAUCCGGAUUUAUUGGGUUUAAAGGGAGCGUAGAUGGAUGUUUAAGUCAGUUGUGAAAGUUUGCGGCUCAACCGUAAAAUUGCAGUUGAUACUGGAUAUCUUGAGUGCAGUUGAGGCAGGCGGAAUUCGUGGUGUAGCGGUGAAAUGCUUAGAUAUCACGAAGAACUCCGAUUGCGAAGGCAGCCUGCUAAGCUGCAACUGACAUUGAGGCUCGAAAGUGUGGGUAUCAAACAGGAU